AGGGCACCACCAGGAGUGGAGCCUGCGGCUUAAUUUGACUCAACACGGGAAAACUCACCCGGCCCGGACACUGGAAGGAUUGACAGAUUGAGAGUUCUUUCUUGAUUCAGUGGGUGGUGGUGCAUGGCCGUUCUUAGUUGGUGGAGUGAUUUGUCUGGUUAAUUCCGAUAACGAACGAGACUCUAGCCUAUUAAAUAGAUCGUUGGCUUACAAACGCCGGCGAGACUUCUUAGAGGGACAGGCGGCGAUUCAGCCGCACGAAACAGAGCAAUAUUUUGGUCUGUGAUGCCCUUAGAUGUCCGGGGCCGCACGCGCGCUACACUGAAGUGAUCAGCGUGCAUUUUGAAACCUACUCUGUCAAGAGUGGGGAACCCAAUGAACCUUCUUCGUGAUUGGGAUAGGGGAUUGUAAUUAUUCCCCUUGAACGAGGAAUUCCCAGUAAGCGCGAAUCAUAAGUUUGCGCUGAUUACGUCCCUGCCCUUUGUACACACCGCCCGUCGCUACUACCGAUUGAAUGUU
rnacentral:rRNA from 1 species